UACAGAGGGUGCGAGCGUUAAUCGGAAUUACUGGGCGUAAAGCGUGCGUAGACGGUAGCGUAAGUCAGAUGUGAAAGCCCCAGGCUCAACCUGGGAAUUGCAUUUGAGACUGCUCUGCUCGGGUGCGGAAGAGGGAAGCGGAAUUUCCGGUGUAGCGGUGAAAUGCGUAGAUAUCGGAAGGAACACCAGUGGCGAAAGCGGCUUCCUGGUCCGACACCGACGUUCAGGCACGAAAGCGUGGGGAGCAAACAGG
rnacentral:rRNA from 1 species